rnacentral:tRNA from 1 species
GCGAGCGUGGCGGAAUUGGCAGACGCGCAAGAUUUAGGAUCUUGUGUCCUAUGGACGUGGAGGUUCGAAUCCUCUCGCUCGCA